ACAAGCUUUUCUAAGUGAGGAGAAUUAUUUUGUGUGGGUGCGUUCACAACAAACCUUCAAGAUGUUGAGCAGAAAAGAGGAGAUAUGCUGAACAUUUUAGGAUGUGGCAAAGCCCUGACUCUCAGAUCUCAGAAGAAGCUGCUGGCAGUAGGAGUCUCCAGACUUCCGCCAGCAUCUAUGUAAGUGUGGCAGGCCUACUUAAUAGCUGGUAAGCAGUUAAACUUCUAAACAUUCAGCUCUUGACUGACCGACCAGAAGGCCUAACCUCAACUGCAGUAUUUAUGAUGAC